rnacentral:rRNA from 1 species
AGUGAACGCUGGCGGUAGGCCUAACACAUGCAAGUCGAACGGCAGCACAGUAAGAGCUUGCUCUUACGGGUGGCGAGUGGCGGACGGGUGAGGAAUACAUCGGAAUCUACUUUUUCGUGGGGGAUAACGUAGGGAAACUUACGCUAAUACCGCAUACGACCUACGGGUGAAAGCAGGGGAUCUUCGGACCUUGCGCGAUUGAAUGAGCCGAUGUCGGAUUAGCUAGUUGGCGGGGUAAAGGCCCACCAAGGCGACGAUCCGUAGCUGGCCUGAGAGGAUGAUCAGCCACACUGGAACUGAGACACGGUCCAGACUCCUACGGGAGGCAGCAGUGGGGAAUAUUGGACAAUGGGCGCAAGCCUGAUCCAGCCAUACCGCGUGGGUGAAGAAGGCCUUCGGGUUGUAAAGCCCUUUUGUUGGGAAAGAAAAGCAGCAGGUUAAUACCCCGCUGUUCUGACGGUACCCAAAGAAUAAGCACCGGCUAACUUCGCG